CCUACGGGAGGCUGCAGUGGGGAAUAUCGCACAAUGGGCGCAAGCCUGAUGCAGCCAUGCCGCGUGUGUGAAGAAGGCCUUCGGGUUGUAAAGCACUUUCAGCGGGGAGGAAGGCGUUAAGGUUAAUAACCUUGGCGAUUGACGUUACCCGCAGAAGAAGCACCGGCUAACUCCGUGCCAGCAGCCGCGGUAAUACGGAGGGUGCAAGCGUUAAUCGGAAUUACUGGGCGUAAAGCGCACGCAGGCGGUCUGUCAAGUCGGAUGUGAAAUCCCCGGGCUCAACCUGGGAACUGCAUUCGAAACUGGCAGGCUGGAGUCUUGUAGAGGGGGGUAGAAUUCCAGGUGUAGCGGUGAAAUGCGUAGAGAUCUGGAGGAAUACCGGUGGCGAAGGCGGCCCCCUGGACAAAGACUGACGCUCAGGUGCGAAAGCGUGGGGAGCAAACAGGAUUAGAUACCCGAGUAGUC
rnacentral:rRNA from 1 species